rnacentral:rRNA from 1 species
CAACUUUCAGCAACGGAUCUCUUGGCUCUCGCAUCGAUGAAGAACGCAGCGAAAUGCGAUAAGUAAUGUGAAUUGCAGAAUUCAGUGAAUCAUAGAAUCUUUGAACGCACCUUGCGCUCCUUGGUAUUCCGAGGAGCAUGCCUGUUUGAGUGUCAUGA